GAGGCAGUGGGGAGCGAGGGAGGAGGGACAGCGAGGAGGGUUUGUGCGUGGCCGGGGCAGCCCGCACCUCCGCACUCCAGCCCUGUCCGACCGCCGGGCUGGAUCGCUGUUGGUAUGGCAACGCAUCCCUGCACUAACCAAACCGUGACAGGCCAGAUGUUUUGUCCUGUUAUGUUAAGUCAUCUUGACAUACUGCCAUGAAAUGGAAAUAACUGCUAGUUUUUACUUUGCUCCGCAUCUUUAUUAAAAGAGUCAUCAAUCUCAUGAGAGUCAUCUUGCCAUCUGUACCAGCAUUGCUCCAGGCUUCCAUAUGAAAGUCCAAUCUGGCGGUAUAAAUACUGGAUAAUGAAGACACUAGCAGAGACUUCACAGUACACACCACUGCUGACCCCAGAAAUGACCCACAGGAACUACUGGCGAAAGGAGCGAAAAGGUUGGCAUCAGAACUGAAGAUCAGGGACCAGCCAACCUCUUUAAAUGUGGUGAGCAGAACUGAUGUGCCUGGGAUACAGCUAACAAAAACUAGAGACCUGUAAGAUGCCACUUCCUUCUCCCUCUCCUAAUGACCUAGCCUAAUGACUAGGACUGUAUUGCUCCCUCAGGUACCCUGAGCUUCAUUCUACACAGCUCAGAAAGAUGUAAUGUCCUUUUCUAUCUGAAGCUGCUUAAUCUGCCAAAUACCAUGUUCACCACAUUACUAAUGCACUGGUGACCCUGAUCAUGCUAGAAGCAGCAGCUCAGAAUGUAAUAUUUGGGCCACAUCAAGAUUGCAGUGUUGGCAGUGAGUAAGGUAGAGAAAAAAAAUCUCUGUAUUUAGAAUCAUAGAUAGAAUCCUUAGAGUUCAAAGGGACCUUGAAGGGUCAUCUAGUCCAACUCCCCUGCAGUGAACAGGGAGAUCUAUGGUUCAGUCACGUUGCUUAGAGCCCCAUCCAGACUGACCAGGGAUGGGGCAUCCACCACAUCUCUGGGCAGCCUGUAGCAAUGCCUCAGAACCCUCACUGCAGAAGACCUUUUCCUUGUAUCUAACCUAAAUUUCCCCUCUUUAAGUUUGAAAUCAUCUUCCCAUGGCCCCAUCACCACAGACCCUACUAGAGAGCCUUUUCCCUUCUUUCCUAUAGCUCCCCUUUAGAUACUGAAAGGUCUCACUCAGGUCUUCACAGAGACUUUGCUUCUUUGUGCUGGUCAGCCCCAGCUCUCUCAGCCUGUCCUCAGAGGAGCGGUGUUCCAUCCCUUGAACCAUUUUUGUGCCCCUCCUCUGGACACAGUCCAGCAGGUCCAUGUCU